GGGGAAUAUUGCACAAUGGAGGAAACUCUGAUGCAGCGACGCCGCGUGAACGAUGAAGGCUUUAGGGUCGUAAAGUUCUGUCCUAGGGGACGAUAAUGACGGUACCCUAGGAGGAAGCCCCGGCUAACUACGUGCCAGCAGCCGCGGUAAUACGUAGGGGGCAAGCGUUGUCCGGAUUUAUUGGGCGUAAAGGGUUCGCAGGUGGUCCUUUAAGUCAGAUGUGAAAGAUCACAGCUCAACUGUGGUAAGCAUUUGAAACUGAAGGACUUGAGUUAAGGAGAGGAAAGUGGAAUUCCUAGUGUAGCGGUGAAAUGCGUAGAUAUUAGGAGGAAUACCAGUGGCGAAGGCGACUUUCUGGACUUAUACUGACACUGAGGAACGAAAGCGUGGGGAGCAAAC
rnacentral:rRNA from 1 species